UCUGGCAGAAACCCCAUGUCCCGUGCAAAUACUUUGUCCCUGCUUAAUGACAGAAUGCGUCCCCUCCUAACAGCACAUGGUGUCAAAUAAAGCACAAACGUUGUAGGGGUUAAGUGUAAGGACUUACAUGCAAUUUAGUCAUUGCAAUAGAUUCAUGCUGUUUCCCACUGAACCUGUAAUGCCCAGCCCUGUGUUUACAGCUAAAUGGAGGAAUUGGGAGCACUUGUUGGGCUGAAGUGAAGAAUGGGAAAGGGGAGGUUCCUUAAAGCAGGGGUGAAUUACUUCCUGUGGCCCUCUAGGUUUCUCUAAAUGGCCCUAUGGAAAUAGCACAAGGCCCUGUCUUUCCUUUUUCGUGCCCACUUCAGGCUGUAGGCAGAGUCCUAAAUUUCUGGAGGAUCCCGUCGUGUGAGAAUGAAACUGUGUCAUGGAGAAAAAGGCUAUCAAUGGCUACUAGCCACAAUGGCUGUAUUGUCCACCACUGUCAUAGAUGCAGGAUGCCUCCGAAUGUCGGUCGUUGGGGGACCCCAAAUGCGGGGAGAGAGGUUGCACUCAGGUCCUAUUUUGAGGCUUCUUGUAAUCUGGUUUGCCACCGUGGGAAGAGGAUGCUGGACUAGAUGGGCCAGUGGCUCUGCUUAUGCUAAUAGAAAUCCAUCUUAUCAGGAUUAUGGGUUUUUGUUGAUCUCCCUUUCACUUUAGAUUUCCACAUGCAAAUUGUUGUUGGUUUUUUUUAAACACUAGCAGUAUUCAAACAUGUGGCAUAUGCAGCCUGCAGUCUGAAGUGGUCUGUAGCACAAGGGCAAUAUGAUAUUCUGUUUCUGCACUUCUGAAUCAUCUCAAGGAAAGGGGUAAAAUUAAAUGUGUCUAUUGCCCUGGUUUAAUGGAACUGGGACUGGGACUUUGAUGCAUAAGCUGCCCUGUCAACAGGUUUCCCUGUUCUUUUCCAAUGGAAGAAGCAGACCUGUGAGCUCAUCCUACCUUUACGCCAGGUGUCCUCCUUUGUGACUUGGGAUGGGGGAAGAGAUUUGAUUCCAUUUGCAUUUAAAGGGGAGCCAAGCUAAUUCACACUUUCAGAAACGAUCUACAAAUUGAAACACAGCCGUCCUUUGAAAUCCACUCUUCUCUGAAUUUUGCAGUGAAAUUCUCCAGCCAAGUACAAAAAUGCAUUUGCUAGGGUAAAGUAUGCAUAAAAAUAUCCAUAUCACUGAAAACAAUAUUUAAAUGCAUUAUAUUAGGGGGGAUUGUUUUGCAAAAACAUGUCUGUUGCACAUAGUUGCAUGUAAACAUGUAUAUUAAGAGGAAUGUGGUGGAUUUUCAUGAGGACUUUUUUAAAAAAUGCAAAGUGCUGUGGAAAAUAUGGAUAACUUUAAGAUCGGAAGUGAGAGGCUGUGAGAGAACCAGAAUUCUGCAGCAGUUCGUGAAAUUGUGUGUGUGGUUUUUUAAAUGCUCGUGAAAAUUCAUCAGCAUUUUAGUGCAAAAUUCUCCCAAUAAUCACAUUUUUGUAUGCAGUUUUGAUUAAUGUGCACAUUUUUUGCAAGCAAUUCCUCCUAAUAAAAUGCAUUUUGAAUGUAUUUGUUUUUGUGCACACUUUUCCCUAAUAUAUGCAUUUUUGUAAACGUUGGUUGGAGAACCCUCUUGCAUCAUUCGAAUAGCUGCAAAUUUCAAAGGCCGGCUAGGUUUGAGUUAUAUUGUUUGGGAAGUGCGAAUUUAAUAGAUUUGGCUUCAGAUGAAAACUGAAUUGGAUUUCUCCACCAUCCCUGGUUAGAAGUAAAUCCAAAUAUGGCUAUGACAGGUUGUGAAUCUUGAGGCACAUUGCAGUCCUCCUUUCACGCUUCCCCUUCAGAGCAUAUCAUUUGCAGUUGUUCUAAAGUCCUUAGGCAAUAGUUAGGAUCUCUAAGUAAACCCAUCACAGAGAGAGCCCAAAGCUUUGCUAGUAGGAUCCUGACCUCCCCUUUCCUCAGACUCCAGCCCCUGUGUUUUGGUAGCCCUUCCUUUAAAUAAAAAAAGCACUUUUUAAACGCUAUGGUAACUUUGUCUUAAUAUUGCAUCAUUCAGACCCUUAAAAAGCAAAAGAUAUGCACUAUUUACAUUGCAAAAAGUGUUGCUGUACAGCAACACCUUUCUUGGUUUUGUUCUUGUGUGUGUUUGUGAUGUGGUACAAUGUAUAGGAGUCAGUUUUGCGGCAUGCCAUUUCACUCCAGCCUCGCAGGAAAGUGUUAGCAGCACCAUCUACCCUGGAUCUACUCCUGAGUAAGCCCCUCUGAAAUGAACCUUGGAAGGUGGUGGACUCUCCUUCCUUGGAGGUUUUUAAGCAGAGGCUGGAUGGACAUCUUCAAGGAUGCUGCAGCAGAGGAUUUUGUGCAUCGGACAGGGGGUUGGAUAAGAUUACUUUUGAGGGUCCCUCCCCCCCCCCCCGAAUCUCCGAUUUUGUGAAUGGGAGUUGUGCCAAGAACUUGGUGGUGCCCUUCCGCCCAUUCAUUUCAGUGGAGGCUUGUGCAGGACAGCUGUUCAAAUGGAUUGUGCCAUGUGUUUUUAUUUGUUCAUUUUAUCUGACCAAAUUUAUAUACUGCUUGAUUGUAAAUAGGACUUUACGAAAAACAAAACAUAAAAGUUGUCACUUUAGCAAUUUUGAUGGCGCUCAGUUUAGCCAGCAAGGGAUCUGACCAAGGUGUCUCUCUCUCUCUCUCUCUCUCUCUCUCUCUCUCUCUCUCUCUCUCUUUCUUUCUUGUAUCCACUACUAGUCCUAGGCUGUGUACACACUAUACAGUACCUUUAAAGCUCAUUCAAAGCACAUUUCUCACUACCGCAAAGAAUUCUGGGUGCUGUAGUUUGUUAAGGGUUGCUGGGAAUCGUAACACUCUGAAGGAUAAACUACAUUGCCCAGAAUUCUUUGAGGGGAUAAAUGUGUGUAUGCAGCCCUACACGGUAUAGACCUGUUGAAAACAAUGGAUGUGACAAACCCAGGCUCAUUAAUUUUAAUGGGUGUAACCCUGUCUUCCUUUCCUCCAGGGCAGUUCAGUUGUUGCUGGGGCUAAGGUUUUCUGAUUGUAUUCACGUCCUUCGUUGGCUGAUGAAUGUACUGGAAGUCAUUUACGUGGGUAUUUGCUGGGUAUUUACGUGGAAGUGAACCCAGGCCUUCCUUCGUUCCUGAUCCGUCACGCUCGCAUCACAGAGUAGCAUGCACAGAGAUUCUGAACAGGGUUGCCAACUGACCGGAAGAAAGUGAUCUGGGCUGCUCUUGUGCCUUGCACAGCAGCUUGCACUGCAUAAGGGGAAGCUUUUCGCAGCAUGGGUCUGGCUGUUAAUCAGAAGGUUGGUGGUUUGAACCCACCCAGGGAUGGUUGUGAACAGGAUUCCUGCAUCGCAGGGGGUCAGACUAGAUGACCCUCGGGGGUCCCAUCAAACUCUUUGAGUGUGUGACCGUCUCUACUAAGGCCUCCAUGUCAAACUGCUGUUGGGGGUGCUUCUGCAGAGAGCUUGUCUGGAAACCCUGCCAGGUUUUUUUUGGACCAAGUGCAUGUGAGUUGGAAUUCCCACUGGGUGACAUGGGGGAAAUCCCACCUCUCAUGCCCAUUGCUCCCUUAAUUCUCUGCUUUGGGGCUUCCCAAAGGCAUCCAGCUAGGCUCUUGGGGAAGCAGCGUGUGCCGGAUUCCUUGGACCCUUGUUCCGAGUCAGCAGAGCUCUUCCUGUGUCCUGAACAGUUGGCAACCUUAUUCCUGAGGCUAAGUUCCCAGAGAUUUUGCUUGCCCAUUUAUUAGCCCCAAGACACCUUGAUUCAAUUGAUAGGGGAGGCCUCUGGCUGUUGGGAAACCAUGUGUCCUACCUUUACAGAGGGUGGUCCUCUGUUUGAAGGCAUCUUCUAUUUGAAGGUCUGUCUGGUCCAAAGAUAAAAAGCCUAAGAGAGAAGAACAGGAGGGAUUUUGAAGUUGGCCAUCCUCAGUUAGCACAGAGGGAGCAGAUGUCUUAACCCCACCAUGUUGAGAUGUAUUAUAUUUUUAUUCAGAUUAUAGUUAAUUAUUUCUAAAUUCUGUCUGGACACUGGAAUUAACUUAUGCAAAUAUGUGUCCUCCUUGUCCUCUUUUUUUUGGCGAUACCCUACACCUCAGUAAGGACCCUUGAUCUUUAUUAGGUACUGACUCUUAGCCAUACUUAACCUUCUGGGUAUUUUUUUAUUUGUUUAUUUCCUUUUAAAAUAGCUACCCAAGAGAAUUCCCAAAGGGGAUUGUACUUUUGCUUUGCCUUUCAUAAGCAUGUGCCAAAGUUAAGGAUGUUGUUUUAGUCCCCACCCACCCCCGCACUUGCAAAGAAACAUUGGCUCUUCACCGAGCACUUCACCUGCAAGUCCCAUUGAAAUGAAUGGGCACAGUAGUGCUUCAGUAGAUGCCGCCCAUUCAUUCCAAUGGGAGUUGUGCAGGAGGACUUCCUGUCUGCAGGGAUGGGGAGCCUGCUGUCCUCUAUAUGCUGUUGGACUCCCAGUUCCCAUCAGUCCCAGCCAACGUGGCCAAGGGAUUAUGGGAGCUGUAGUUCAACAAAAACCCGAAGGGCCAUAGGUUCCAUAUCCCUCUUGGACAAUGUUUAUUAUUUUCUUUAUCUCUCCCAAUUAAAAAACUGUCUGUUAUUAUUAUUAUUUUUAAAGAAAUAUCUCCUGUGAUGGUCCUUUGUGCUUUACAAAAAAUAAAAAUCAGCUGUGCUGCUUUUUAGUUCUUGUUCGCUAUCAUGAUAUCUGUAAGCACUGAACUGUCUUUAAAUGUGUGUGGUUUUUUUUAAGAAAAGCAAAUGUGUUCUUUUCCCAAUACCUUGUAGAUGUGGCUCCCCUCCCCCCUUUUUUUUGCAUUUGGUGACUGUUUGGCUUGCAUCACUAAGAGUACUUACAUGACAUAUCGGGGCGGGGCGGGGGGGGGGGAAGAAAGCUGAUAACCUUUUCUGAUUUUAGGGGGAUUUUAAAGGGAGGGGAAGGAAGGGAAUUUAUAUAUUUUAAAAAUCAUAUAUUAUUUUUCAAAUGUUUGGAUUGUAUGGAGCGCUCGUGUAGUGACUGUAUCAUUUGUAGGAGAAAGUUACAUAUUUCCAUUAAUACGUAGUACAAUGUUCUUUUCUUUUUUUAAAAAAAGAGGAAAUUAAAAACUUGCACUGUAAAUU